rnacentral:lncRNA from 1 species
AGCCAAUGCUGCCCAAGCUCCUCCCCCUCCUCCUCAACAGCCUGCAAGCCCCGCCCCCUGCGGCUCCCCCGGCUGCUUCUGAUUCGUUCCUGCUCUUCGAAGAGGAGGGGGAGGAGCCAAUGGACGACGAGGAGGAGGAGCACGUGACGGUGGAGGUGGGCGGAGACUUCGUGGCGGAAUUGGAGGCGGCGUGCGAGGGGGCGGGGCUUGUCGCUGAGCAUUGUGGCCCUGCUUUUCAGCCCUAUUUCUCCCCCACGCUGGAAGCUCUGCUGCCCCUGCUGGAGAUCCGCUGCCUGCAGGACGACGAGGCCGAAGCUGACGAUGAGGAGGUGGGCGGAGCUUCAGAAACGGGGGGGGCGUGGCCUGCAGGCUUAGCCCCGCCCCCACGGUGCGCUCUCGUCCAAUCAGGUGGAGGCGGCGGCGGAGCUGCGGGAGCAGGCGGGGGAGGGGCUGGUGGCGGUGGGCGGGGCUUCGCCGGGGGGCGGGGCUUUGAGCGACGCCUUCCGCCGAGUCCUGCCCACCCUAUUGGGCUGCCUGAGCGGCGACGCGGCGCAGCGCUCCUGGGCGGCCGCCAUCUUGGGCGAGGCAGGCUUUUACCUGGACGUGGGCAUGGCCAAGGAGCUCCUCCCUCUGAUUGGCCCGGCCCUCGCUCGAAGCUCCGCCCACGACCCGGACCCGGAAGUGCGCAGCAACGCCCUCUGCAGCAUCGGGCGCCUGGCGGCCAAUGGCGUCGCGUUGGGGGCGGCGUGGCCGGGCCUGGCUGCCAUUGGCCGAGCGCUGCGGGAGGAGGGGCCGGGCUGGGCGCGGGACAACGCCUGCGGGGCUUUGGUCCGCCAUAAGGGGGCGCUGCCGGAUGCGGAACUGCUGGUUCUGCUGCUCCCGGCGCUGCCGCUGACGGCGGAUUUUGAGGAGAAUUCCGCCGUUUUUGGGUACCUGCUGCAGCUGCACGUCCAGCAGGUGGGCAGCAGGG